CCCAGUAAACGGCGGCCGUAACUAUAACGGUCCUAAGGUAGCGAAAUUCCUUGUCGGGUAAGUUCCGACCCGCACGAAAGGCGUAAUGAUUUGAGCGCUGUCUCGACAAUGCAUCCGGUGAAAUUGAAGUACCAGUGAAGAUGCUGGUUACCUGCGCCAGGACGGAAAGACCCCAUGGAGCUUUACUCCAGUUUGGUACUGGGGUCCGGUAUUGCAUGUACAGGAUAGGUGGGAGGCUAGGAAGCAGCAACGCCAGUUGCUGCGGAGCCGCUGUUGGGAUACCACCCUUGCAGUACUGGGCUUCUAACCAGCCGCCGUGAACCGGCGGUGGGACAAUGCCAGACGGGGAGUUUGACUGGGGCGGUCGCCUCCGAAAGGGUAUCGGAGGCGCUCAAAGGUUCCCUCAGAAUGGUUGGAAACCAUUCGAAGAGUGCAAAGGCAGAAGGGAGCUUGACUGCGACACCGACGGGUGGAGCAGGUACGAAAGUAGGACUUAGUGAUCCGGUGGUAUAAAGUGGGAUUGCCAUCGCUCAACGGAUAAAAGCUACCCUGGGGAUAACAGGCUUAUCACUCCCAAGAGUUCACAUCGACGGAGUGGUUUGGCACCUCGAUGUCGGCUCAUCGCAUCCUGGGGCUGUAGUAGGUCCCAAGGGUUGGGCUGUUCGCCCAUUAAAGCGGUACGCGAGCUGGGUUCAGAACGUCGUGAGACAGUUCGGUCCCUAUCCGGCGUGGGCGUAGGAUAUUUGAGAGGAGCUGUCCUUAGUACGAGAGGACCGGGAUGGACUGACCUCUGGUGUACCGGUUGAACCGCCAGGUUCACGGCCGGGUAGCCAAGUCGGGAAGGGAUAAACGCUGAAGGCAUCUAAGCGUGAAGCCCCCCUCAAGAUGAGAUAUCCCAUAACGUCAAGUUAGUAAGACCCCUUGAAGACGACGAGGUAGAUAGGGCAGAGGUGGAAGUGUGGCAACACAUGGAGCUGACUGUUACUAAUAGGUCGAGGGCAUAACCAA
rnacentral:rRNA from 1 species